GGGGGCGUAGCUCAGUUGGUUAGAGCGCUGGCCUGUCACGCCAGAGGCCGCGGGUUCAAGUCCCGUCGCUCCCGCCA
rnacentral:tRNA from 1 species